rnacentral:rRNA from 1 species
UACGAGGGGUGCAAGCGUUGCUCGGAAUUAUUGGGCGUAAAGGGUAGGUAGGUGGUCUCGUUUGUCUGGGGUGAAAGCCUUGAGCUUAACUCAAGAAGUGCCCUAGAAACGGCGAGACUAGAGUUCUGGAGAGGGUCGUGGAAUUCCCGGUGUAGCGGUGAAAUGCGUAGAGAUCGGGAGGAACACCAGAGGCGAAGGCGGCGACCUGGACAGAUACUGACACUCAACUACGAAAGCGUGGGGAGCAAA